rnacentral:rRNA from 1 species
GUACGGCCGCAAGGUUAAAACUCAAAUGAAUUGACGGGGGCCCGCACAAGCGGUGGAGCAUGUGGUUUAAUUCGAUGCAACGCGAAGAACCUUACCUGGUCUUGACAUCCACGGAAGUUUUCAGAGAUGAGAAUGUGCCUUCGGGAGCCGUGAGACAGGUGCUGCAUGGCUGUCGUCAGCUCGUGUUGUGAAAUGUUGGGUUAAGUCCCGCAACGAGCGCAACCCUUAUCCUUUGUUGCCAGCGAUUAGGUCGGGAACUCAAAGGAGACUGCCAGUGAUAAACUGGAGGAAGGUGGGGAUGACGUCAAGUCAUCAUGGCCCUUACGACCAGGGCUACACACGUGCUACAAUGGCGCAUACAAAGAGAAGCGACCUCGCGAGAGCAAGCGGACCUCAUAAAGUGCGUCGUAGUCCGGAUUGGAGUCUGCAACUCGACUCCAUGAAGUCGGAAUCGCUAGUAAUCGUGGAUCAGAAUGCCACGGUGAAUACGUUCCCGGGCCUUGUACACACCGCCCGUCACACCAUGGGAGUGGGUUGCAAAAGAAGUAGGUAGCUUAACCUUCGGGAGGGCGCUUACCACUUUGUGAUUCAUGACUGGGGUGAAGUCGUAACAAGGUAACCGUAGGGGAACCUGCGGUUGGAUCACCUCCUUACCUGAAAGAA